GACGAACGCUGGCGGCGUGCCUAAUACAUGCAAGUAGAACGCUGAAGCGAGGAGCUUGCUCUUCUUGGAUGAGUUGCGAACGGGUGAGUAACGUGUAGUUAACCUGCCUUGUAGCGGGGGAUAACUAUUUGAAACGAUAGCUAAUACCGCAUAACAAUGGAUGACACAUGGUAUUUAUUUGAAAGGGGCAAUUGCUCCACUACAAGAUGGACCUGCGGUGUAUUGGCUAGUAGGUGAGGUAAUGGCUUACCUAGACGAGGAUAGAUAGCCGACCGGAGAGGGUGGUCGGCCACAUUGGGAGUGUGACACGGCCCAUGCGCCUGCGGGACGGAGCAGGAGGGGAUCUGCGGCAAUGGGGGGGAACCUGACCGAGCGGCGCCGCGUGAGUUACGAAGGUUUUCGGAUCGGAAAGCUCUGUUUUAAGUUAAGAACGGGUGUGAGAGUGGAAAGUGCACACUGUGACGGUAGCUUACCAGAAAGGGACGGCUAACUACGUG
rnacentral:rRNA from 1 species